rnacentral:rRNA from 1 species
GACGAACCGUCCGAACGUUAUUCGGAAUCACUGGGCUUAAAGGGGGCGUAGGCGGCGCGGAAAGUUGGGUGUGAAAUCCCUCGGCUCAACCGAGGAACUGCGCCCAAAACUACCGUGCUCGAGGGAGAUAGAGGUGAGCGGAACUGAGGGUGGAGCGGUGAAAUGCGUUGAUAUCCUAAGGAACACCGGUGGCGAAAGCGGCUCACUGGAACUCUUCUGACGAUGAGGCACGAAAGCUAGGGUAGCGAACGGG